rnacentral:lncRNA from 1 species
GGGCUCAGGGAUGACCCUGCUCUCACAUUUAAUGACUCAUUUCUUUAACAUCUUUCCCAGGUUUCCAGAAGGAAGCAGAUUCCCUCUUGUCAGUGACCAAACUCAGCAUCAUCAGCGACUCUCGGAACAUGAGCGAAGUCCAGGACAUCCUGUUAAAGCUCUCGGAAGAGACCAACAUCUUCCCAACCAGCUGGGAGCUUUCCGAGCGCUACCUCUUCGUGGUGGACCGCCUCAUCGCCCUGGACGCUGCGGACGAGUUCUUCCAGACGGCCAGCGCGGUGUAUCCGAAGCGGCCCGGCGGGGACAGGGCGGACGAGGGCCCGCGGCCCCCACAGAGCAUCCCCGCAGUGCCCUGAGGAACGUGCCUCGGCGGCGUGACACGGCCAGCGCUCCCGGAAAGGCUCCCUGCCCGGGCCAGCAGGAGAGCGCUCUCCUGGUUUCCCAUGGAGAAGGCAGUGGCGGGCGGGGAGGGCAGCGAGCCGUGCCCGGCAGGAGCGCGCGGGAAGGCGGCCGCUGGCCCCACGGGGCUCCCGGGCACGGGGCAGUGACCGCUGCCCUGGGGUAGCCCCGGUGGGACGCCACUGGACAGCAGCGUAUGCAGUGGGCAUGGGGGGAUCUGCCAUGCAAGGGGUCACUGCCAGGAGCCGCAGAGGUUCGAGUGCCUCUGGUUCCAAGGGCUGUGAGGAAAUCCACCUUUCCACCUGCUGCUGGUACCUGCCACUGUCCCCUCCCUUGAGCCUGCCAGCCAGGAGGAGCAGCGAGACAGGAUAAACACCUCCAUCACCUACAACUCUGUGCACUGGUCCUCUUCCUCACCCCAGCCCUCCAGGCAGUUCCCAGGGGAUUUGGGAAAGAGGCAGGAGACGUGCCAGGACAGGAUUUAGUUCCAGGCAGCAAAGCCUUGGAGCAGUGUCACAGCUGGGUGCUCCAUCCCCAGCCCUUAGUGGUUGAGGGAUGUUUUUGUCAGGAGUGCUCAGCUUGACAUCUUAAACAAAGGUAGAGUUUAGGAAGAUGCCGAGUUCAGAGCUGCUGAGAAUUUGGCUCCUGGAACGUUGGUUGCCCAGCAUCUCAAACUAUUUUGAAAAGUUUUGGUCUUAAUUGCCUGAAAAAACCCCACCACAAAGCUGCAUGUACUGGCAAUAUAAAAAUCCUCAUUGCCAGCAGGGAUGGUAUAAUGAACAUUCCUUUAAACUUGGGGUUUUGUCUGAUAACGAGCAAUAAUUUUUAAACACUGGAGUUGAUAAUUUAAAAACAAGUGGAAGUUCUUCACUGAUGAACAAUGCUGCUAGUGAUGCUGUUAAUUGGCCAGUUGAAAAUGCUGGUUACACAGGGCCUCCCAAAGUAGCAAACUAGAACUUUUCUUUGUUUGUA